rnacentral:tRNA from 1 species
GGCGAUGUGGCUGAGCGGUAAAGCGCUUGUCUUCCAAACAGCGGAUCCAGGGUUCGAAUCCUGGUGAAGACU